rnacentral:rRNA from 1 species
GUCUACAGCCACACCACCCUGAAUGUGCGUAUCUUGUCUGAUCUCAGACACUAAGCAAGGUCAGGCUUGGUUAGUGCUUGGAUGGGAGAACAACAAAUAUCGUAUUUU